rnacentral:rRNA from 1 species
AGUGAACGCUGGUGGUAGGCCUAACACAUGCAAGUCGAACGGCAGCACAGUAAGAGCUUGCUCUUACGGGUGGCGAGUGGCGGACGGGUGAGGAAUACAUCGGAAUCUACUUUUUCGUGGGGGAUAACGUAGGGAAACUUACGCUAAUACCGCAUACGACCUACGGGUGAAAGCAGGGGAUCUUCGGACCUUGCGCGAUUGAAUGAGCCGAUGUCGGAUUAGCUAGUUGGCGGGGUAAAGGCCCACCAAGGCGACGAUCCGUAGCUGGUCUGAGAGGAUGAUAAGCCACACUGGAACUGAGACACGGUCCAGACUCCUACGGGAGGCAGCAGUGGGGAAUAUUGGACAAUGGGCGCAAGCCUGAUCCAGCCAUACCGCGUGGGUGAAGAAGGCCUUCGGGUUGUAAAGCCCUUUUGUUGGGAAAGAAAAGCAGCAGGUUAAUACCACGCUGUUCUGACGGUACCCAAAGAAUAAGCACCGGCUAACUUCGUG